GCCGAGCUUAGUAACGCGAGCUUGUGACCCACGUGGGGGCUGUGGAUGGGUGCGGACGUUUGAUAGGACCGUUGGGUCAGGGCUCUUGUUUGUGCAAUUGAAUUGGGCCCGCCCGUUCCAAGCUGAGCAGUGGGCCACGUGGUCCCGGGGGAAGGCCUGGGUCCAGUGGGUCCUGCAGUGGAGGGGACUGCGUGAGGCUGGUUUCACAGAGCAGCGAACACCUCCCGCUCUCAACGGUGGAAGGAUUACGGGCCAACGCACUCUGAGCCCAACAAUGGCCCACCGGCCUACUCUAACGAACCACCUAUCUU
rnacentral:SRP_RNA from 1 species